GGGUGCUGCUGGGGACUGUGGGGCUCCAUGUGGGUAUGGGCCAGCUACGGGGGAGGUGUACUGCGUCUGAGGGGGUCCUUGAGGGGCUCCAGGGCUCUGUGGGGGGCUACAGGGUGUCUCUAGGGGUCUUGCUGGGAAACACUGGGAGGGAUAUAUGGGCUCUGAGGGAAUGAUGGGUGGGCUGUCAUGGAAAAGGAAAGGGCAGCCUUGGGGAAAGCAAGGGGCAGCUAGGGGGAUGGAAGGGAAUCCUACAGGAACGCAAGGGGAAUCCAGGCUGAGGCAAGGGGACAGCUGGGGGAACAACAGGGGAACGUCCCAGCAACGGACUUCUUCUUUCACAUCCACAUCUUCUGCUUCCCAACUGAGCUGCAAAGCUGCCAGAGGAGCUGCAGUACCGCUGCCCGACUCCUGCCUGUGUCAGAAAGAGCUGCACGUUGGCGGAGUGCAAUUGUCAUUCAUAAAGCCAACUCCAUCACUGCAGUCACAACACCACAACCUUCAGUAUCUGCUACAGGCAGACGACCAU
ensembl:lncRNA